GGUUUAACCCCCCUGAAGAGUCGUUCGAGACCAGGACGUUGAUAGGACGGAUGUGGAAGCGCAGUAAUGCGUUAAGCUGACCGUUACUAAUUGCUCGUGAGGCUUGAUCCU
rnacentral:rRNA from 1 species